rnacentral:lncRNA from 1 species
CACCCCUAAAACUAGAUGAGCGUGCUACACCCCACCCUUAAGAAUAAGGGCAAAGAGAAUUCUAACUAUAGCUGGACUGAUAACCUGUUCACAUUUAAUUCAAUAAAUUUUUCACUCUACUACCACAAAUAUUGUAAGUUAUGAUUCAUUUCUCAAAUCAAACUCAACAUAAAUAGGGAAUAACUUUAAGCUUUCAUUUCUCAAUUCAUAACCUUUUACUAAGGUUUAUAGGAUAGAUAUCUCUAACAUUU